rnacentral:tRNA from 1 species
GAAAUAUAAAAAUUAAGCUACUAACUUAACUUCUAGUAGAAAAUAUCUAUUAAUAUUUCU